UGCAUAUCAAUAAGCGGAGGAAAAGAAACCAACAGGGAUUGCCCUAGUAACGGCGAGUGAAGCGGCAACAGCUCAAAUUUGAAAUCUGGCCCCCAGGCCCGAGUUGUAAUUUGCAGAGGAUGCUUUUGGCAAAGCGCGUACCGAGUCCCCUGGAACGGGGCGCCACAGAGGGUGAGAGCCCCGUAUGGUGCGACGCCGAGCCUCUGUAAAGCUCCUUCGACGAGUCGAGUAGUUUGGGAAUGCUGCUCUAAAUGGGAGGUAAAUUUCUUCUAAAGCUAAAUACCGGCCAGAGACCGAUAGCGCACAAGUAGAGUGAUCGAAAGAUGAAAAGCACUUUGAAAAGAGGGUUAAAUAGCACGUGAAAUUGUUGAAAGGGAAGCGCUCGUGACCAGACUUGCGCCGGGCGGAUCAUCCAGCGUUCUCGCUGGUGCACUCCGCCCGGCUCAGGCCAGCAUCGGUUUUCGCCGGGGGACAAAAGCUUCGGGAACGUGGCUCCCUUCGGGGAGUGUUAUAGCCCGUUGCUUAAUACCCCGGCGGGGACCGAGGACCGCGCUUCGGCAAGGAUGCUGGCGUAAUGGUCAUCAGCGACCCGUCUUGAAACACGGACC
rnacentral:rRNA from 1 species